rnacentral:rRNA from 1 species
GGGGGAUAUUGCACAAUGGGGGAAACCCUGAUGCAGCGACGCCGCGUGUAGGAAGACGGUCCUCUGGAUUGUAAACUACUGUCUUGUGGGACGAUAAUGACGGUACCACAGGAGGAAGCCACGGCUAACUACGUGCCAGCAGCCGCGGUAAUACGUAGGUGGCAAGCGUUGUCCGGAAUUACUGGGUGUAAAGGGAGCGUAGGCGGGAAGACAAGUCAAGUGUCAAAUCUAUCGGCUCAACCGGUAGCCGCGCUUGAAACUGUUUUUCUUGAGUGGAGUAGAGGCAGGCGGAAUUCCUAGUGUAGCGGUGAAAUGCGUAGAUAUUAGGAGGAACACCAGUGGCGAAGGCGGCCUGCUGGGCUUUUACUGACGCUGAGGCUCGAAAGUGUGGGGAGCAAAC